GAUGAACGCUGGCGGCGUGCCUAAUACAUGCAAGUCGAGCGAACAGGCGAGGAGCUUGCUCCUCUGACGUUAGCGGCGGACGGGUGAGUAACACGUGGAUAACCUACCUAUAAGACUGGGAUAACUUCGGGAAACCGGAGCUAAUACCGGAUAAUAUAUUGAACCGCAUGGUUCAAUAGUGAAAGACGGUUUUGCUGUCACUUAUAGAUGGAUCCGCGCCGCAUUAGCUAGUUGGUAAGGUAACGGCUUACCAAGGCAACGAUGCGUAGCCGACCUGAGAGGGUGAUCGGCCACACUGGAACUGAGACACGGUCCAGACUCCUACGGGAGGCAGCAGUAGGGAAUCUUCCGCAAUGGGCGAAAGCCUGACGGAGCAACGCCGCGUGAGUGAUGAAGGUCUUCGGAUCAUAAAACUCUGUUAUUAGGGAAGAACAAAUGUGUAAGUAACUAUGCACGUCUUGACGGUACCUAAUCAGAAAGCCACGGCUAACUACGUG
rnacentral:rRNA from 1 species